GAUAUUUGAUAGAAUAUGUAUGUAUUUGCAUUCGAGAAAUCUGUUGAAUAUGAUAGAAACACAUGCAUAUAAUAAAUAAAAGAACCACGUCAAUCGCAAAUAUGACAAACACAUGCAUAUAAUAAAUAAAGAGCCACAUACAUCGCAAAUAUGACAAACACAUGCAUUAUGCAUAUAAUAGAUAAAUAGCCACCCACAUACAUCGCAAAUAUGAAAAACACAUGCAUAUAAUAAUAAAUAAAGAGCUACGUGCAUCGCAAACUAAACCACAACGUAAGAAAACAGUGAAGGUAUGUUUGUAACUGGUUGUUAGACUCAAGAUGAUGGCACAGCUCAAGAGGUGAUAUGAUAACAGGACGUCUGUGUGACACAAGAGUUUUAUGCAGACAACAACAGAGGUAUUGAAACAUCUGUGUGACGCAAGAGUAUCAACAGAAAGUAUAAGAGUUGUGUUCCACAGGCAGCAGUUGUGUAACACAACAGGAGAACUGAACGCAGGAAGAAUAAAGUUGGGAAUGAAUAUGACGUGGCGUGAUUCUAUUGGAGACGUGAUGUUUCCUUUAGUGGUGGCUCGGAUACUUUCGAAUCAAGGAAAAAAGAUUGCGAGAAUAUUUGGAACUUAGGGUUUUGUCUUGAUAUAUACUACAAGAAAACACGUCAUUAGCGACGUUAUUCAGCGACUGAUAAAUUAGUCGCUGAAUUUGAGGACUGAAUUGCGACAUUUAGGCGACUGAAUGUUGCCUAAACAACAUUAGUCGCUAAUCCGUCUGCAUUUGGCGACGGAUAACAAUAGUCGUUGUAUAGUAGCCAAAUUAGGCGACUAAGUAGCUUCUAAAUAUUUAGUCUACAAACUGGGCUACUAAUUAGCUACUUUAUAGCGACUAUAAUUUCUAAUUGGGCCUUUUAAUUGGUCUCGGUCCAUUAGAUUUACUGCGUUGGCCCAUAGUAUAAAUUCCCUUCUUUUAGGUCUAAUCGAUGGCUCCUCAUGUUCGUGGUGGAAGAGGAAGCGGAAGAGGGAAGAGGGGACCGAAGUCUCCGGUGAAGCGACCCACUGUCGUCCCUACUCGACCCACAUCUUCCGGUGUGUCGAGUCGAAGACCAAGGAGCCUUCUGUCGCAGUAUGAGUUCACGCCGGCGAACCCUGAAGAUCCAAAUCAUGGGACUGAGCAUCCGCCGAAUCGUCAGCCUUCACCGCAACUGAGUCUAAGAGACUAUCCACCUCCGCUGCAGCUUUUCCAGUCGGGCGAAGGAUCUCAGCAUGCAGCUGGUGGAUCUCCUCGGGGCUCUGGAACGACUCCGUUUCGAGCAUCUGUCUCCUCUGUUCAUCGUUUAGCAUCCGGAUCUCCCCGUGCCUCUCAGUCUCCAGCUCCAGUUCAGCCUCCAGCGCCGGUUCCUUCUCCAGUGGUUAAUCAACAACGACCACCAAGAGCCUCUCUGUCUGGUCACAGUUCUCAAGCUCAGAACGUUGAAGAAGAAGAAGCUGCAUCGGAUGAAGAAGCUGAUGAUGAAACUACAUCGGAGGAUGAAGGUUUGAGGGAUUCAACACUUCCAGAAGAUGUCCUCGCGACUUUACAUGAUACGCUUCUCAUCCCAGGCCGUGAGCUCUAUACUACUCUCAUCUCUCCGACUUUAGAGCCUGGGACGACAUGGUAAGGAUUUUGAAUGUUUAUAGGAUUGUUUGUAUAGAAUUGUGUAUAGGAUUGUCUAGAAUUGUGUAUAGGAUUAGGUAUGGUUUAGGUCUGUUUGUGUUAAGGUAUGGUUUGUGUAUAGGUUUAGGUAUGGUUUAGGUCUGUUUGUGUAUAGGUUCUGGUUCUUGUUUAGGGUUUAGGUAUGGUUCUGGUUCUUGUUUAGGGUUUAGGUAUGGUUCUGUUUAGGUAUAGUUUGUGAAGAGGUUUAGGUCUGUUUGUAUUCUUGUGUAUAGAUUGUAAGUUUGUUUAGGUAUAGUUUGUAUUCUUGUGUUGUAUUCUUCUGUUUGUAUUCUUGUGUAUAGAUUGUAAGUUUGUUUAUUUGAUUGUAGGUUUGGUAAGGAUAAGGGUAAGCUGACCCGGAAGGUCACCAAGUGUUUUACUAACAAGUUUGAUGGACCAUACUACAAUUGGAGUUGUGUGCCAAUUGGAAGAAGAGAAAGAUACUUUCUUGAAUUCGCUGUAAGCUUCUAUCCCUCUUCUACUACUGUAUUUUCAUAUUGUAUUUUGAUAACUAACAUCUGCUUCACUGUCCUCUUGUUUUGGUAGAAAACACACACCUGGCAUCCCUCAGUUACAGGUGUGGUUGAAGCCAAGUUCUACAAGAUCAUUGCACUGCGUAUGAAAGACAUGGUUAGUAAGGCAGGGUCAAAAAGCCCAAGAGUGAGGCCGUAUUGGAUUGAGAAAACUCUGUGGAGAGAGAUGUGUAAGUAUUGGGAUACUGAAGAAGCCCAAGCCAAGAGUUCAACCACAUCAGCAGCUAGGAUGUCUGACCGUAAUGGUCUUGGUCCUCGCAAGCAUAUUUCUGGUCCAAAGUCCUUUUUACAAGUGGAGCAAGAGAUGGUAAGUUACAUGUCUGUUUUAAAUACUUGUUUUGUUUAUUACUCGCUGACAUCUCUGUUACUAUAUUUCAGGAAGUUGAAUUGGGAAGACCUCCUACUAUUGGAGAAGUGUUCAUCAGAACUCAUACCAAGAAGGAUGGGACAUUUGUGGAUAGGAUGGCGCAGGAAAUCCAUCAGGCAUAUCUCAAGAACAAGGCAGCUAAGUUGGCUGCCCUGCAAGAGAAUGAUGAACAGGAUGAUGGUAAUUCGCGUCAGUCUGAGCUGUCUCAGGAGGAGGAUGAUGAGAUAUUUCUUCAGGUAGUAGUCUUAUCUUUUGCUCUGUAGUCUACUUUUAUCUGUUAAGCACUAAUGUUUUUACUUUGUUUUGCAGUCUACUGUCACAAAUGAUAGAGGAGAUUACUUUGGAAUUGGCAGCUUAGGGGUUUACAUCAACGGGAAGCGCAAGUACGCAGGAAGCAGUUCUUCUUUCACAACCCUGCAGUCACAGCUUGAGGAUGCUAACCGCAAGAUAGAGGAACAAGCAGCUCUACAAGCAGCACGUGAAGCAGAGGCAUUGCGGGUCGCAGCAUCACAAGCAGCUGAGAUCAAGCAUUUGUCGAUGGUGAAGAAGUACCUGAGUGAAACUGACCCUAAUUUCCUGGCCUUCCUCAAUUCCCAAUCAACUCCUGCUGCGGAUGAUCAUUCAGAGGUCCAACCAAAUCCAACUCCUGCUGCUAAUGCUGAUGGUACUACUCCUGCUACUUAGCUUUCUCUCCUCUUAACUCAAAAACUUGAACUUGAUCUUUUGGUCUUGUACUUAUGGUACAAGUAUGUUUGUAUUUAUGUCUUGUGAACUUGAUAUUUUGGACUUGUACUUUUGGUCUUGUGAACUUGUAUGUUUUUAUGUUUAUUAAGAACUUGUAUGUUUUGGUCUUGUGAACUUGUAUGUUUUGUAUGUUUGGUUUUAAUUAGUAAAUGCAAACGUAAUUGGAAUCAAAAUAAGUAGGCAAAAUCCAAAAAUAAACUUCCAAUAAGUCGCAAAACGAUAGCCAUUCAGUCACUAAAACAUUCAUAAAACAGUCGCCUUGUAGUGUCUUUUUGGCGAUUCCACAGUCACCUAUUAGUCGCCAAACCAGUCGCCAAAUAGUGACAUAUUAGUAGCAGAACCGUCGCCACUUUAGCGACUCAUACGCGACGCACAGGCGACUUCAAAUAGUUAUCGCAGAAUAGUCGCUAUUUAGCGACUAUUAGGCUACAAUUUAUUUUAGCGACGCAGUGUUCGGCGACAACGUUUAUUAGUCGCUAAUUAGUGGUUAUUAUGUGUUUAGCGACUCUUUAGUUACGUUUCUUGUAGUCGCUAAAUCCAUGUUUUCUUGUAGUGUGAGUAUAUAUAGAUGGCUGCCGUGACAAAGAGAGGUUGCGCGUCUAUGGUAUAUUUGAGAAAGAGACACACAUGCGUGUGUGGCGUCGCCCCACGAAUUCAGAUGAAGAUCUGUUGGUGGUAUUCCUUUGGAUUCUGCAGCCGUUAGAGAAGACGGUGAUGCACCGGUGCUGCAGGGUGGUAGUCAAGACAUGCGUGGCUUGGUACUGUUUCCAAAGUCCAUCUAGAAAAGAAUGGUAGGCAUAGUUAUGCUGUAAUAUCAUAUGCAAUCUUGUUCUAGUGGAAUGAUUUCUGGACUAGGUCCCGAGGAUGUAGGUUGUUAACCGAACCCCGUUAACAAAUCUCUGCGUCAUCUUUACUUUAUGCUCUUUACAUUCGCUGCACUCUCCCAUCGUACAAACGCAUAGAUCUAGCUACCACACAGUAACUUCAAACAGAUCAACGUGCAUACAUUUAUUGACGCAUUAAUAUUCGUAGCUAUAGUGAGAUCAGUGACUAGGUGUGCUCCUUGGGAAAGCCUUUGGGGGAGGAGGAGGCCUACAGUGACGGCACCUUCUUCCAGGCGAAACAGUGGGAACGGUGGGCGCCCAGGGCCGUGGAAACCCAGGUGGUAAAGUAAUGGGCCGAGGCCGAGGCCGCGGUAAAAAAGUAAUCGAGCGCUUUUGGACCGUCACUGGAUCCGUAUGGUUUAUCUCCUCUGCACAAGUACCAAUCAAACGGUUUACACAUACAUAUUACUUAAAACAGUUUUGUCAUUUUAGUAACAUUUUUAUAUAACUCAACACCCCUAAUAAACCUAACUGAUAAAGUAAAAUGGGAAUAACUUACGAAUAUUUAAAGACAAAAUAAAAAAUGCUCACCAAGUUCACGGAGUUCCAUUCGUGCGCCAAGGACAUUAUCUAUAUGUGGAAAUACAAGAAGAAGAAGGAGAAAGAGAAACAUGGAGGAGACUACAGAAGACGAUGCCAUCUUCACUAAUAUUCCUUCUUAAUUUACUUAUCAGUAUGACUCAAAUUUAUGCAUUUAUAUAGAAUCGAGAGGUGAAGAUAUAUGGUAGAGAAUAAGAAUAAAAUCUUGGUUUUACUGUAAUGAUCAUGGGUGUUUUGGAAAUGAUAUAUCUUAAAUUGUACUUAAAACCUUGUCAGAAGACUCUUGGCUUAUGAGCUUUGAGACUCGAAUAUCCCAUCCUCAAGUGAGUCCAAGAAAAAAUUCAGUUCAACCCACUAUACUAAUUUCAAAUUCAUUGAUCUGUUUCUUUUUUUUUUUUUGUUUUUAAAUUCAUUGAUUAUUGGAGAUUAUGUUGGUUUAUUCCGGUUUAGUCAUUUGGUUAUGUUAACCACAAUUGUAGCUUAGUAAAAAUACUCUCUGUACAACUAUUUUCAGCGUUCUAAUGAGAAAUCGAAUCUAUAACAAACUUUCUCAUCUUCUCUCUUGGCUAAUAUUGAUCUUUACAUAUACAAACACGUCUUCAUGGAGGAAUCCAUUCAAGAAUAACCUUUUCACAUCCAUUAGAAACAACUUAGUUUUUAGGAUGCAUGGUCAUGUCUUGUAUUAAUUAAACAAUAGUAUAGAGAGGAAGAGUUCAUACAUAAGGACAGAAACCCAAUCCUAAGAAUUGAUUAACAAAAAUUAUAUAGCAAGGGAAAUCUUCUACUAUCCCAGUGGAUGCAUGGGACACCAAAAACUUUGGAUGUGUCACGGCGACACAAGAGACCUUGGAGCAGUGAUGACAAGGAGAUGAUCACAUGAACAACGCGGUAAUAACAUGAUGUUUUCUCUUAUGACACCGUACCCUCUCACAUAUAUAUUCACACACAAUGUUUCGAGGCUUUAUGUUAUGGGAUGUUGUUGCUAUAGUUCCGGCCAUUUUAAUCAGUUUCGAACUCAGAUUAGGGAGGCUUUUAGAAAAUCAAAGAAAAAUCUUCAUAAAUUAGAACUCAUGGUAAAUGUGAAUUCGACCAUCUUCUUUUGUUUUUAGCUCAGUACUUAGAUUUCUCUUUUUCUCUUUCCAUCUCGGUAUAUAAACGUCUUCUUUUUUUUCUAACUCGGUAAAUAAAUGUUUUCCUUAUUUUUAGAAUAGUAAUCGAGCAAUUUUUGUUUAACUCGAUAAACAAUUAUUUUUUUUAGCUCAGUAAACCAGUGUUUUUUUAGCUUAGGAAACGAAUUUUUUUUUUUUCGGUAGACGAGAGUCUAGGUUCGGAUAUAUUAAUUUUUUUUAUAGAGUAAAUGUUUCCUCUAAUAUCUUCAUUAACAUUAAAAGUUUUCAUUUCUCAAAUUAUACUCUUAAAACUACAUAUUUUACUAGAACUAGAUGAAUACCCACGCGUAGCGUGGGUAUUUGUGUUAAAAAUUGCAGAAAAAUAUGAUUAUGUUUUUUGUUACAUGUUAUUUUGUGUGUUAUUAUGUAAUUGAUAAAGUCAAAUCUAUUUUCUAUAGUUAUAAUUUUUAUGAUUAGAUUCAUCUUUGACUCGAAAUAUUAAUUCUACGUUUUUAAAAUAUAAACCUGAUUAUUUAUAUACCUACGAUCCUAAUCAUUCAUUAUCAUGAAUACAUACAACAAUAAUAUAUGAUAUAUUGAUACAAUGAUAUGUGAUUAUGUUACUUAUGUGGUUUGAAACUUGCAUAACUUAAUUCUAAACAAACAAUUAUUUGUUCCAUUCAAUCUCUCGUCAUCUAGUACGCCAACCACAUCAUAAUAUGCUAGUAAAUUAAGUCAACACUUUAGAUCUCUCUUCUUGCAUACAACUGUAUAAGAGAGAGUCUCGUGUUUUAAAUUUCUUGGUAUGUCUAACGUCUCAAAGGACCCUUAAGUGAAAAAAAUUGUGUGUCAAUGUUACCGACUUAUCAUAACGCAUAAAAAUAAAAAGAGAGAAUGCCAGAAAACAUAACAUGAAGUUAGGUAGCAAAUAUAUAAACUACAACAAAAGUAAUUUUUUAGCUAUUAUCGUGUAAUGACCAUCGAUAAAAAAUUUAGUAAUAUAAGAAGAGUAGAAUGAAAAUAGUGCUUAUUACAAUAGUAUGAUCUUUUACUUUAUUUUUUAGUUUUUUAAAAAAUCAAUUAAGAGUGAGAUUAAUGAAAAAUUUAACAUAACAAAAGACUUUUGAUUUUCUCUCAAUUAAUUUUGCUAAUUUUUUUAUUUAAAUAAUGUCGAAUGACACAUGUCAUUUUCUUAUGUGAUGAUGUGGCAUUCAUAUGGAAAGAGUUAGCCAACUUUUAUAUAUAUGAUUCCAUUUAUUUUAAUUUCCUCGUUCAACCUCCCAUGGCAUCAUAGCAUUUAACUUGUUUAAUCUCUACUUCCAAUUUUGUAUAAUUGUUUUGGACUACUUCCCAAUCUUGAUACUUGACAGAAUAUGUAUGUAUUUGCAUUCGCUAAAUCUGUAGAAUAUGUUAAACACAUGCAUAUAAUAGAUAAAGAGGCACCCACAUACAUCGCAAAUAUGACAAACACAUGCAUAUAAUAGAUAAAGAGCCACAUACAUCGCAAACGAAAGUUACGAAACCACAACGUAAGAAAACACAUUAACAUGCAUAUAUAUAUCAGCAUAUCUUUAUUGACGCAUUCCAAGCUAUAGUGACAUCAGUGACUAGGUACGUGUGUUCCUUAGGAAAACCUUUUUGGGGGCGGAGGAGGUCUACAUGCAGGGAAGAUUUUUGGGCAGUUCUUAAUCUUAGGCACACGAACUCGCCCCCACCGUGGAAUUGGAAUGCCCUUUUGGACCGUCACUGGAUCCGCAUGGUUUAU
rnacentral:lncRNA from 1 species